rnacentral:tRNA from 1 species
GGAUCCUUAGCUCAGUUGGCUAGAGCGUACGAUUCACAUUCGUAAGGUCACAGGUUCAAGCCCUGUAGGAUCCACCA